UGAGGAAUAUUGGUCAAUGGGCGCAGGCCUGAACCAGCCAAGUCGCGUGAGGGAAGACGGUCCUACGGAUUGUAAACCUCUUUUGUCGGGGAGUAACGUGCGGGACGCGUCCCGUAUUGAGAGUACCCGAAGAAAAAGCAUCGGCUAACUCCGUGCCAGCAGCCGCGGUAAUACGGAGGAUGCGAGCGUUAUCCGGAUUUAUUGGGUUUAAAGGGUGCGCAGGCGGCGCGCCAAGUCAGCGGUCAAAGUUCCGGGCUCAACCCGGUGUCGCCGUUGAAACUGGCGUGCUCGAGUGCGUGCGAGGAAGGCGGAAUGGCGU
rnacentral:rRNA from 1 species